rnacentral:lncRNA from 1 species
GCAACCCUAAUGAAUCAGAUCUAGGUGACUUAGCUGGUGAUUCAAGAACAUGGCGAAGAUAGUCAAUGAUGGGUUUCGGGUUUGCUUGACUAAAACCAAGGUGGAGAAGGGUAAGGCUAGUAGCAUUCAAUGACCAAUGUUAGCCUAAUUUAGGUACUCCAAAUGGUUAAACUUCAAAUUAAGAGCCAGAUUAUAGCUCAAUAGGAAUU